GUCUAGUUUCGGCGGGACGCACGCCAAAAUGGGAACGAGACAGAAAAGCUUGGCACGUCCCCCUCGCCAGGGGGAUGUGCAGAUUCGUGAAGCAUUCCAUAUUGUU
ensembl:snRNA U6 U6 spliceosomal RNA